rnacentral:rRNA from 1 species
CUACAACGGAGAGUUUGAUCCUGGCUCAGGAUGAACGCUGGCGGCGUGCUUAACACAUGCAAGUCGAACGAACCUUCGGGUUAGUGGCGGACGGGUGAGUAACGCGUGAGAAUCUGCCCUCAGGAGGGGGAUAACGGUUGGAAACGACCGCUAAUACCCCAUAUGCCGCGAGGUGAAAUGAAUUUCGCCUGAGGAUGAGCUCGCGUCUGAUUAGCUAGUUGGUGGGGUAAAGGCCUACCAAGGCAUCGAUCAGUAGCUGGUCUGAGAGGAUGAUCAGCCACACUGGGACUGAGACACGGCCCAGACUCCUACGGGAGGCAGCAGUGGGGAAUUUUCCGCAAUGGGCGAAAGCCUGACGGAGCAACGCCGCGUGAGGGAUGAAGGCCUCUGGGCUGUAAACCUCUUUUAUCAAGGAAGAAGAUCUGACGGUACUUGAUGAAUAAGCCACGGCUAAUUCCGUGCCAGCAGCCGCGGUAAUACGGGAGUGGCAAGCGUUAUCCGGAAUUAUUGGGCGUAAAGCGUCCGCAGGCGGCCCUUCAAGUCUGCUGUUAAAGAGUGGAGCUUAACUCCAUCAUGGCAGUGGAAACUGUUGGGCUUGAGUGUGGUAGGGGCAGAGGGAAUUCCCGGUGUAGCGGUGAAAUGCGUAGAUAUCGGGAAGAACACCAGUGGCGAAGGCGCUCUGCUGGGCCAUCACUGACGCUCAUGGACGAAAGCCAGGGGAGCGAAAGGGAUUAGAUACCCCUGUAGUCCUGGCCGUAAACGAUGAACACUAGGUGUCGGGGGAAUCGACCCCCUCGGUGUCGUAGCCAACGCGUUAAGUGUUCCGCCUGGGGAGUACGCACGCAAGUGUGAAACUCAAAGGAAUUGACGGGGGCCCGCACAAGCGGUGGAGUAUGUGGUUUAAUUCGAUGCACGCGAAGAACCUUACCAGGGUUUGACAUCCUGCGAAUCUCUUGGAAACGAGAGAGUGCCUUCGGGAACGCAGUGACAGGUGGUGCAUGGCUGUCGUCAGCUCGUGUCGUGAGAUGUUGGGUUAAGUCCCGCACGAGCGCAACCCACGUCUUUAGUUGCCAGCAUUUAGUUGGGCACUCUAGAGAGACCGCCGGUGAUAAACCGGAGGAAGGUGUGGAUGACGUCAAGUCAUCAUGCCCCUUACAUCCUGGGCUACACACGUACUACAAUGCUACGGACAAAGGGCAGCAAGUUCGCGAGGACAAGCAAAUCCCAUAAACCGUGGCUCAGUUCAGAUCGUAGGCUGCAACUCGCCUACGUGAAGGAGGAAUCGCUAGUAAUCGCAGGUCAGCAUACUGCGGUGAAUACGUUCCCGGGCCUUGUACACACCGCCCGUCACACCAUGGAAGUUGGCCACGCCCGAAGCCGUUACUCCAACCCUCGGGAGGAGGACGUCGAAGGUGGGGCUGAUGACUGGGGUGAAGUCGUAACAAGGUAUCCGUACCGGAAGGUGCGGAUGGAUCACCUCCU